rnacentral:rRNA from 1 species
GAGUUUGAUCCUGGCUCAGAACGAACGCUGGCGGCAGGCUUAACACAUGCAAGUCGAACGCUCGUAGCAAUACGGGAGUGGCAGACGGGUGAGUAACGCGUGGGAACAUACCCUCCGGUUCGGAAUAGCUCAGGGAAACUUGGAUUAAUACCGGAUACGGCUGAGAGGCGAAAGAUUUAUCGCCGGAGGAUUGGCCCGCGUUCGAUUAGCUUGUUGGUGAGGUAAUGGCUCACCAAGGCGAUGAUCGAUAGCUGGUCUGAGAGGAUGAUCAGCCACAUUGGGACUGAGACACGGCCCAAACUCCUACGGGAGGCAGCAGUGGGGAAUAUUGGACAAUGGGCGCAAGCCUGAUCCAGCCAUGCCGCGUGAGUGAUGACGGCCUUAGGGUUGUAAAGCUCUUUCGCUCGGGACGAUAAUGACGGUACCGAGAUAAGAAGCCCCGGCUAACUUCGUGCCAGCAGCCGCGGUAAUGCCCAAUCGCC